GGGGAGAUACUCAAGCGGCCAACGAGGGCAGACUGUAAAUCUGCUGUCUUUCGACUUCGCAGGUUCGAAUCCUGCUCUCCCCACAA
rnacentral:tRNA from 4 species